UACGGAGGGUGCGAGCGUUGUCCGGAAUCACUGGGCGUAAAGGGCGCGUAGGCGGCUCAUGAAGGCUGUGGUGAAAGUCCGGGGCUCAACCUCGGAUCGGCCGUGGCGACUCGUGGGCUGGAGCACUGUAGAGGCGGGUGGAAUUCCGGGUGUAGCGGUGGAAUGCGUAGAGAUCCGGAGGAAGACCGGUGGCGAAGGCGGUCUGCUGGGCAGUUUCUGACACUGAGGCGCGACAGCGUGGGGAGCAAACAGG
rnacentral:rRNA from 1 species